rnacentral:rRNA from 1 species
GACGAACGCUGGCGGCGUGCUUAACACAUGCAAGUCGAGCGGAAAGGCCCUUCGGGGUACUCGAGCGGCGAACGGGUGAGUAACACGUGAGCAACCUGCCCUUAGCUCUGGGAUAGCUCCGGGAAACCGGAAUUAAUACCGGAUAUUACGUCGGCCGACAUCGGCUGACGUGGAAAGAUUUAUCGGCUGAGGGUGGACUC